rnacentral:rRNA from 1 species
GACGGGACCCGCACAAGCGGUGGAUGAUGUGGAUUAAUUCGAUGCAACGCGAAAACCUUACCUACCCUUGACAUGUCCGGAAUCCCGAAGAGAUUUGGGAGUGCUCGCAAGAGAACCGGAACACAGGUGCUGCAUGGCUGUCGUCAGCUCGUGUCGUGAGAUGUUGGGUUAAGUCCCGCAACGAGCGCAACCCUUGUCAUUAGUUGCCAUCAUUUGGUUGGGCACUCUAAUGAGACUGCCGGUGACAAACCGGAGGAAGGUGGGGAUGACGUCAAGUCCUCAUGGCCCUUAUGGGUAGGGCUUCACACGUCAUACAAUGGUCGGUACAGAGGGUUGCCAACCCGCGAGGGGGAGCUAAUCCCACAAAGCCGAUCGUAGUCCGGAUCGCAGUCUGCAACUCGACUGCGUGAAGUCGGAAUCGCUAGUAAUCGCGGAUCAGCAUGUCGCGGUGAAUACGUUCCCGGGUCUU